rnacentral:lncRNA from 1 species
UUCCUUGUGUCCUUCUCACCCCCAACCUAGGAGGCAAAGGACCCCGUGGAGUUCCUAUUCUGAGUUUCCGCAGCAGACGCUCUACUUGAACGAACAUGGCAAGACUCUCGCACUCGGUGGCCAGGUAGACACUGGCGGUAAGGACUGACCAGGAGUGACAACACCAACCCGAUUCCGUGGCUCGACUAGAAAAGCGUAGUGAGGCCACUUGGAAGGAUGGCCAAGAACAUGGUCUCCCACCUUAUCUGUGGAGCUGGGUGCCCCCUGGUGGCCGCAGUGUUGACUUAGGUUUUAGGCUAGCUUUCCCAGCCUAUGUCCGCGUGCCAGAGGAGGCCAGCUGGUCUCAUCACUGCUCGUCUGGGAGAACGUACUCAGCUUGGACCUUCGGGUGACCAUGCUGAAGGAGGUGUGGGUCAGGCUGAGGUGUUUGGUCCUAGACUCCGUUUUCUAUGACACAAAACUUGGGAAACCCACAGUGACCUAGCAUAGGGGUUCUGGGACUAGACAUUUAUAGCCAUCUAUAUGGUUUGGGACAUGAAUACGUGGAGCCCAGAGCAUCAUGAUAAAGCAACUGAGCAGCUGCUGAGGAGGUUCGGGAGAGGUGGCUCCGUAGGGGCUCCUGUGGUUUGCUCCCAGAAACUGCGACAAUGACACAUUCAUCAGUGGCUGUUUUGUAGCCCUCACCUGGCAUCUUUGGCAGAGAUGGAUUCCCCUACUCAGUGAGUGAGGGACUCUGAGGAGGUUGGCCUAGAAGAAGGAAAGAGGGAGGGGACAGACAGAGAGGGGAUCAAUCGGGAAUCUCGCCUCUUCUUGGUCUUGCCCUCUUCUCCCCUUGUCACAGAUCUGUGCAAGUCAUCAAGUCUCCAGUGUCACGAAUAACUGGUUUCUGUGCAAAACUCUAUGUUGGGAGGGCUGCAUCUGGGUGAGAAUGCAUUACACCUGGAUUUCUGAAUCUGCAAAUUGAGAACAAUAGCAAUCCGUACUUCACCCGGUUAUUUUGCAAAUACAACAUAGGCGGGGCUGCCGAAUGGCUGAACUUCAACCAGACCUGGAGCACCUUGUGAGAUGAUACCCGAGAGGAAGAAGGUGGGACGAGACGGUGACCCAGGCUGCCCCUCCAUACCUACAUGAGGGU